rnacentral:rRNA from 1 species
UUAAUUUUUAUUUAUUAAUUUUUUUUUAAAAAAGUUUUAUUUAUUAAAAAUAAUUAUAAAAUUUAAAAGUUUUAGUAUUUUAUAAAGAAAAAAUAAUUUUAAUAAUAGUUUAUUAGUAUUGUGAAAUAAAAUUGAAAUAUAAUGAAAAAUUUUUAUUAUAAAAGAAAAUUUAAUUUAUUGUAUCUUGUGUAUCAGAGUAUAUUAAAUAAAAAAUAUUUAUAUAUUUUUCUCGAUUUUAAAAGAUUUAAUAAAUUAUGAAUGUUAAUGUGAUAAAAUUAUAUUUAAUAAUUUAUUAGAAAUGAAAUGUUAUUCGUUUUUAAAGGUAUCUAGUUUUUUAAGAAAUAAAUUUAAUUUAAUAUACAAAAUUUACUAAUUUAUUUAUUUUAAUGAAGUAAUUUUUGUAGAUUAAUAUUUUAUGGGAUAAGCUAUAAAAUAAAUUUUUAUAAAUAAUAAAUAAUAUUUAAAAUUUUAUAUGUUUAAAAGUAUCAAUUUUUAUUAAGUUUGUUAUAAAUUAAUUUUUUAUAUAAAUUAUUUAUUUUAUUUUAAUUUUUUAUUAAAAUAUUUAUUUUAAUGUUAAAAAUAAAUUAAUAAUGAUAUAAUUAGUAUAUUAAAAUUGUAUAAUUAUAAUUAAAAAUGAAAAGUUUAUGUAAAGAAUUCGGCAAAAAUAAUGUUCGCCUGUUUAACAAAAACAUGUCUUUUAGUAUUUAAUUUAAAGUCUGACCUGCCCACUGAAUUUUUUUAAAUGGCCGCAGUAUAUUAACUGUGCAAAGGUAGCAUAAUCAUUAGUCUUUUAAUUGAAGGCUGGAAUGAAUGGUUGGACGAAAUAUUAACUGUUUCAUUUGAAUUUAUAAUAGAAUUUUAUUUUUUAGUUAAAAAGCUAAAAUAUAUUUAAAAGACGAGAAGACCCUAUGAAUCUUUAUAUAUAUAAUAUUUUAAUUUUGUAGAUUUUUUAAAUUAUAAUAUUAUUAAUAUAUUUUAUUGGGGUGAUAUUAAAAUUUAAAAAACUUUUAAAAUUUAAAUCAUUGAUUUAUGAAUAAAUGAUCCAUUUUUAAUGAUUAAAAAUUUAAGUUACUCUAGGGAUAACAGCGUAAUUUUUUUGGAGAGUUCAUAUCGAUAAAAAAGAUUGCGACCUCGAUGUUGGAUUAAGAAAUAGUUUUAGGUGUAGCCGUUUAAAUUUAAAGUCUGUUCGACUUUUAGAAUCUUACAUGAUCUGAGUUCAAACCGGCGUAAGCCAGGUUGGUUUCUAUCUUUAAUAAAUUAAUAUAUUUUAGUACGAAAGGAUUGAAUAUAUAAAUAAUAAUAUUUUAUAAAUAAGAAUAUAAUUAAUUUUUUAAAAA